UACGUAGGGGGCAAGCGUUGUCCGGAAUUAUUGGGCGUAAAGAGCGUGUAGGCGGUCCGGUAAGUCAGCUGUGAAAGUCAAGGGCUCAACCCUUGAAUGCCGGUUGAUACUGUCGGGCUAGAGUCCGGAAGAGGCGAGUGGAAUUCCUGGUGUAGCGGUGAAAUGCGCAGAUAUCAGGAGGAACACCAAUGGCGAAGGCAGCUCGCUGGAACGGUACUGACGCUGAGGCGCGAAAGCGUGGGGAGCGAACAGG
rnacentral:rRNA from 1 species